rnacentral:rRNA from 1 species
GGUAAGCGUGUUGAAGCGGGGGGGGGAAUAGGAACGGGGUUAGAGGUAAGCGGGAGUACUGGGCGGAAAGCGGGCGUAGGUGGUUGUGUAAGUCUGGCGUGAAAGGCCUAGGCGCAACCGUGGAACUGCGAUGGAAACUGGGCGACUAGAGUGUGGUAGAGGGGAGCGGAGUUCCUGGUGUAGCAGUGAAAUGCGUAGAUAUCAGGAGGAACAUCCAUGGCGAAGGCAGCUACCUGGGCCAACACUGACACUGAGGCACGAAAGCGUGGGGAGCAAACAGGAUUAGAUACCCCUGUAGUC